AAGUGGUAGGAGAGCGUUCUAUUUGCGUCGAAGGUAUACCGGUAAGGAGUGCUGGAGCGAAUAGAAGUGAGCAUGCAGGCAUGAGUAGCGAUAAUUAAUGUGAGAAUCAUUAACGCCGUAAACCCAAGGUUUCCUACGCGAUGCUCGUCAUCGUAGGGUUAGUCGGGUCCUAAGUCGAGUCCGAAAGGGGUAGACGAUGGCAAAUUGGUUAAUAUUCCAAUACCAACAUUAGUGUGCGAUGGAAGGACGCUUAGGGCUAAGGGGGCUAGCGGAUGGAAGUGCUAGUCUAAGGUCGUAGGAGGUUGUACAGGCAAAUCCGUAUAACAAUACUCCGAGAACUGAAAGGCUUUUUGAAGUCUUCGGAUGGAUAGAAGAACCCCUGAUGCCGUCGAGCCAAGAAAAGUUUCUAAGUUUAGCUAAUGUUGCCCGUACCGUAAACCGACACAGGUGGGUGGGAUGAGUAUUCUAAGGCGCGUGGAAGAACUCUCUUUAAGGAACUCUGCAAAAUAGCACCGUAUCUUCGGUAUAAGGUGUGGUUAGCUUUGUAUUAGGAUUUACUCCGAAAGCAAGGAAACUUACAACAAAGAGUCCCUCCCGACUGUUUACCAAAAACACAGCACUCUGCUAACUCGUAAGAGGAUGUAUAGGGUGUGACGCCUGCCCGGUGCUCGAAGGUUAAUUGAUGGGGUUAGCAUUAGCGAAGCUCUUGAUCGAAGCCCGAGUAAACGGCGGCCGUAACUAUAACGGUCCUAAGGUAGCGAAAUUCCUUGUCGGUUAAAUACCGACCUGCAUGAAUGGCGUAACGAGAUGGGAGCUGUCUCAAAGAGGGAUCCAGUGAAAUUGUAGUGGAGGUGAAAAUUCCUCCUACCCGCGGCAAGACGGAAAGACCCCGUGGACCUUUACUACAGCUUGACACUGCUACUUGGAUAAGAAUGUGCAGGAUAGGUGGGAGGCUUUGAGUAUAUGACGCCAGUUGUAUAUGAGCCAUUGUUGAGAUACCACUCUUUCUUAUUUGGGUAGCUAACCAGCUUGAGUUAUCCUCAAGUGGGACAAUGUCUGGUGGGUAGUUUGACUGGGGCGGUCGCCUCCCAAAUAAUAACGGAGGCUUACAAAGGUUGGCUCAGAACGGUUGGAAAUCGUUCGUAGAGUAUAAAGGUAUAAGCCAGCUUAACUGCAAGACAUACAAGUCAAGCAGAGACGAAAGUCGGUCUUAGUGAUCCGGUGGUUCUGUGUGGAAGGGCCAUCGCUCAAAGGAUAAAAGGUACCCCGGGGAUAACAGGCUGAUCUCCCCCAAGAGCUCACAUCGACGGGGAGGUUUGGCACCUCGAUGUCGGCUCAUCGCAUCCUGGGGCUGGAGCAGGUCCCAAGGGUAUGGCUGUUCGCCAUUUAAAGCGGUACGCGAGCUGGGUUCAGAACGUCGUGAGACAGUUCGGUCCCUAUCUGCCGUGGGCGUAAGAAGAUUGAAGAGAUUUGACCCUAGUACGAGAGGACCGGGUUGAACAAACCACUGGUGUAGCUGUUGUUCUGCCAAGAGCAUCGCAGCGUAGCUAAGUUUGGAAAGGAUAAACGCUGAAAGCAUCUAAGCGUGAAGCCAACUCUAAGAUGAAUCUUCUCUAAGCUCUCUAGAAGACUACUAGUUUGAUAGGCUGGGUGUGUAAUGGAUGAAAGUCCUUUAGCUGACCAGUACUAAUAGAGCGUUUGGCUUAUCUUUA
rnacentral:rRNA from 1 species